rnacentral:lncRNA from 1 species
AAGGUGCCAUGGUGAUUUCAGGGCUCCAGUGGUGGCCCCCCAAAUGGAAAUGGCACUAUAUGCAUCCUGGUUUGCAAUCAGUGAUUUCUGUUAAUGUAAGAUGUCUGAAGAUAAUAGUGGUAAACAUGAUAGAUUUUUAAAUAGUAGGGUAAUAAGGUGAGGGAGACUUUUGGGGCUGUUGACAAAAGCUCUCCUUGCUUUUUCUGCUGCUCUUUAACCAGGCUCUUUAUGAAAUGAAUCUAAUCACCUU